AGCCAGACUCAGACACAUGUGUUAUUCUCUCUCAACUUUACCAACAAACAUCCAAGAUGCAGGCUUCUUCAGUCGAGUAAAGAGAAGUUUGUAGAAGCAGUAGAGAUGUGAAGACGAUAUCAUCAGUCCAUCGUCGUUGAAGACGUAGUUUUGAGGUGGUCAGUCCCUCAGUCUGGAACAAGACUACCUCCAUAAUGUGGUCACCGUUGCUCUCCCGCACCAGUGUGGUCACCGUUUGCUCUCCCGCACCAGUGUGGUCACCGUUGCUCUCCCGCACCAGUGUGGUCACCGUUGCUCUCCCGCACCAGUGUGGUCACCGUUGCUUUCCCG